GGACCAUCAUGUCGGUCGUGCCUCGGUACGUACUGGCAUUGUUGGUUUCUCCCUUCUGACGAACCAUGAUGUCAUUUAUUUGGUGUUGUGGGGAAUCAGGACUGUUACUUUGAAAAAAUUAGAGUGUUUAAAGCAGGCUCACGCUUGAAUACAUUAGCAUGGAAUAAUGAAAUAGGACGUUUGAUUCUAUUUUGUAGGUUUUGAGAAACGAGGUA
rnacentral:rRNA from 1 species